GAUGAACGCUGACAGAAUGCUUAACACAUGCAAGUCAACUUGAACUUCGGUUUGGGUGGCGGACGGGUGAGUAACGCGUAAAGAACUUGCCUCACAGCUAGGGACAACAUUUGGAAACGAAUGCUAAUACCUGAUAUUAUGAUUAUAUGGCAUCGUAUAAUUAUGAAAGCUAUAUGCGCUGUGAGAGGGCUUUGCGUCCCAUUAGCUAGUUGGAGAGGUAACAGCUCACCAAGGCGAUGAUGGGUAGCCGGCCUGAGAGGGUGAUCGGCCACAAGGGGACUGAGACACGGCCCUUACUCCUACGGGAGGCAGCAGUGGGGAAUAUUGGACAAUGGACCGAGAGUCUGAUCCAGCAAUUCUGUGUGCACGAUGAAGUUUUUCGGAAUGUAAAGUGCUUUCAGUUGGGAAGAAAAAAAUGACGGUACCAACAGAAGAAGUGACGGCUAAAUACGUG
rnacentral:rRNA from 1 species